AGUGAUUCACCCAGAUGAUGUCACUUAAAGGUGAGUGAAGAUGCUUUCUUACUGGAGAAGACAGAUAUCACUGACUGCUGGCAGGAGGUGGCUCAGGUGCUGGAGUUCAAACAAUCUGUGCGUAGCCCAGAGACAGACUGCUUCCCAGAGAAGACAUUUGUCUUUGUUCUCUUACUUGUUGUUUUUGGCAAUGCAGAUGGGACUUUCUGGGAUACCCCAUCCACUCUGGAACCUGCAGAUGAAAUCCUAGCAAAACUGGCAGAAGCUGGUAAAAGAAAGAUUCAUGGAAAGCACUCUGACAAAUACAGGCUUCUGAUAACUUCAAGAUCAUACCAUUUGGCCAGAAAUGCCUCUUAUUAGAUCACCAUAUAGAGGCCUAACUUUGAUGAGAGCUCACCUGCAAUAUCUCCUGAAAUGAGACACAACUGCUUAAUUGAAUUGACCUAUUCUCAGCACUAAGACAAUGAUUUGAUAUGGGGCAAUGUACUUAAAUUUGUUCAGCUGCACUUGUUCCAAUCUAUGUUUUCCUCUUCCUUUGCCAAUCCCUGAUCUCACAAUCUCUAAUCCAAAUCUCUUCAAAGCUACCAACUUGGAGAGUUCUAAGCCACCAUUUUGAGUUACUUUGUGUUGUGGUUUCUCCUGCAUUGUGUGCUGCACGUAUUAAUAAACUUGUUUUUCUCUUAUUAAUC
rnacentral:lncRNA from 10 species